rnacentral:rRNA from 1 species
UACAGAGGUCUCAAGCGUUUGUUCGGAUUCAUUGGGCGUAAAGGGUGCGUAGGUGGCGUGGUAAGUCGGGUGUGAAAUUUCGGAGCUUAACUCCGAAACUGCAUUCGAUACUGCCGUGCUUGAGGACUGGAGAGGAGACUGGAAUUUACGGUGUAGCAGUGAAAUGCGUAGAGAUCGUAAGGAAGACCAGUGGCGAAGGCGGGUCUCUGGACAGUUCCUGACACUGAGGCACGGAAGGCCCAGGGGAGCAAAACGGG